rnacentral:rRNA from 1 species
UACGUAGGGGGCAAGCGUUGUCCGGAAUCAUUGGGCGUAAAGGGCUCGUAGGCGGUUUGUCGCGUCGGGAGUGAAAUCCACUGGCUUAACUGGUGGCUUGCUUUCGAUACGGGCAGACUGGAGGCAUGCAGGGGAGAACGGAAUUCCUGGUGUAGCGGUGAAAUGCGCAGAUAUCAGGAGGAACACCGGUGGCGAAGGCGGUUCUCUGGGCAUGUCCUGACGCUGAGGAGCGAAAGUGUGGGGAGCGAACAGG